rnacentral:rRNA from 1 species
UACGGGGGGGGCAAGCGUUGUUCGGAUUCAUUGGGCGUAAAGGGUGCGUAGGCGGCGCGGUAAGUCGGGUGUGAAAUCUUGGAGCUUAACUCCGAAACUGCAUUCGAUACUGCCGUGCUUGAGGACUGGAGAGGAGACUGGAAUUUACGGUGUAGCGGUGAAAUGCGUAGAUAUCGGAAGGAACACCAGUGGCGAAAGCGGCUUCCUGGUCCAGCACCGACGUCAGGCACGAAAGCGUGGGGAGCAAACAGGG